GUCAGAGAGUGGAAUAGGCUGCCCAGGGAGGGGUGGAGUCCCCAUCCCUGGGUGUGUUUAGGGGUCAUUUAGAUGAGAUGUUGGGGGAUGUGAUGUAGGGGGGAACUUGUAGAGUCGGGCUGGGGGUUGGACUCGAUGAUCCCAGGGGUCUUUUCCAACCUGAAUGAUUCUGUGAUUCUUUUUGCUCUGUCCAAUUUAAUUCGUUGGACCUGACUG